rnacentral:rRNA from 1 species
UAGGGAAUCUUCGGCAAUGGACGAAAGUCUGACCGAGCAACGCCGCGUGAGUGAAGAAGGUUUUCGGAUCGUAAAACUCUGUUGUUAGAGAAGAACAAGGACGUUAGUAACUGAACGUCCCCUGACGGUAUCUAACCAGAAAGCCACGGCUAACUACGUGCCAGCAGCCGCGGUAAUACGUAGGUGGCAAGCGUUGUCCGGAUUUAUUGGGCGUAAAGCGAGCGCAGGCGGUUUCUUAAGUCUGAUGUGAAAGCCCCCAGCUCAACCGGGGAGGGUCAUUGGAAACUGGGAGGCUUGAGUGCAGAAGAGGAGAGUGGAAUUCCAUGUGUAGCGGUGAGAUGCGUAGAUAUGUGGAGGAACACCAGUGGCGAAGGCGGCUCUCUGGUCUGUAACUGACGCUGAGGCUCGAAAGCGUGGGGAGCAAACAGG